rnacentral:rRNA from 1 species
UCCAGAGCCAUAUCUCCCUGCAGUUCUCACCUGGUUUCCCACUGAAGAUAAGCAGGGUUGAAUCUGGACAGUACCUGGAUGGGAGACCUCCUGGGGAAAACUAAGGUUGCUGCUGGAA